UGAAGGGUGGCUGGGAAAUCAUUGCCCUCUUCAGCUCUGUUAUUGCACAAAACAGCAGCGCAAUAAUUUUUUGUCAAUGUUUUACUCUAAAAGCUUUCUGCGUCAGUUUUGAAAAGGAAGCAAUAAAGCCCAUUCAAUGGGUAAAAGCCAGACCUAGUGCAUUAUGGUACAGUAAAGACAGCAGAAGGAGCUGGCUGCAACGGUCUUGAGGAGGAAAUGUAGCGCUCGGCGGCUUCAGCUUUCAGCGUCCUCCAGAAGCGGCACUUCGCUUGAUGUGUGCGCUGCUUUUCCCGGUUGGUUUGUUGCUGCCGUACAACAUUUGACUCAUUGUGGACGGUCUCCAGCUGUGCUCGUCGCCGCCUCGGCCUCCGCGGCUGCGGAGACCCCGCCUGCUGCCCCAGGACGCUGGGAUGCUCCGGAGCCACCUCUCAGUGCCACGAGGACCAGGGAGUCCCAGAGCCCCGGCCCAGACAGGCAGCCGGACGCCGGCGCAGGAGGGGACAAAAUCAUGAAAUACAGUUGCUGGCUUAAACAUUUACGAGGCACCUGAGACACUUUGAAAAUCUGCACUCCAGAAAUGGACACGCCCAUCAAUAAG